rnacentral:rRNA from 1 species
UACAGAGGCCUCGAGCGUUAGGCGGAAUCACUGGGCUUAAAGCGUGUGUAGGCGGAUGGUUAAGUACCUUGUGAAAUCCCACGGCUCAACCGUGGAACCGCUUGGUAUACUGGUCAUCUUGAGCCACUUAGGGGUUACCGGAACAAAUGGUGGAGCGGUGAAAUGCGUAGAGAUCGGAAAGAACACCAACGACGAAAGCACUCUGCUGGGCCGACACUGACACUGAGAGACGAAAGCUAGGGGAGCGAAUGGG